GAUGAAGAACGCAGCGAAAUGCGAUAAGUAGUGUGAAUUGCAGAAUUCAGUGAAUCAUCGAAUCUUUGAACGCACAUUGCGCCCCAUGGUAUUCCGUGGGGCAUGCCUGUUCGAGCGUCAUUUACCCCCUCAAGCUCCGCUUGGUGUUGGGCGUCUGUCCCGCUUCGCGCGCGGACUCGCCCCAAAGGUAUUGGCAGCGGUCGUGCCAGCUUCUCGCGCAGCACAUUGCGCUUCUCGAGGCACCGGUGGGCCCGCGUCCAUCAAGCUCGACCCCCCCAGUUUGACCUCGGAUCAGGUAGGGAUACCCGCUGAACUUAAGCAUAUCAAUAAGCGGAGGA
rnacentral:misc_RNA from 1 species